rnacentral:rRNA from 1 species
AACAAACGCUGGCGGCGUGCCUAACACAUGCAAGUCGAACGCGAAAGGGACUUCGGUCCUGAGUAAAGUGGCGCACGGGUGAGUAACGCGUGGGUAAUCUGCCCCUCAGUUGGGAAUAACCCAUCGAAAGGUGGGCUAAUACCGAAUAAUGCUGUAUCGCCUCGGUGAUUCAGCCAAAGACGGCCUCUGCUUGCAAGCUGUCGCUGAGAGAUGAGCCCGCGUACCAUUAGCUUGUUGGUGGGGUAAUGGCCUACCAAGGCGACGAUGGUUAGCUGAUCUGAGAGGAUGAUCAGCCACACUGGAACUGAGACACGGUCCAGACUCCUACGGGAGGCAGCAGUGAGGAAUCUUGCGCAAUGGGGGAAACCCUGACGCAGCAACGCCGCGUGAGUGAGGAAGGCCUUCGGGUCGUAAAGCUCUGUCGGUGGAAGAAACGCAUGGUGCUAAUACCAUCUAUGCUUGACGGUACCGCCAAAGG